CAGACUCACGAUACGUGACUGUCAGUUUCUACGCGAGAAUAGCCACGUUGGUCGGAUGGACAAAAAGAUUACGGAAAGAAAUUCAGAAGAGACUCUUCUCAACUUACCUACGUUUCUUAAAUAAUACUAAACUAUCUAGAGAAAAGUUGAAUAUGCUGUUCCCACUACAAUUGAUCCUUUACAAGGGGGCACAUUCACACUACGGCAAGUUUUCCAUCCAGGUGGGUGUGCGUGUGUAUAUGUGCGUGUGUGGCCUUUGUAGCUUCAGUACAGUUGUUAGAAAUCAUACCUGAGGUUAUCUUCAAAUAAAUAGAUGUUCAGAAGAUUCUUCCA
rnacentral:lncRNA from 1 species